rnacentral:rRNA from 1 species
AACGAACGCUGGCGGCAGGCUUAACACAUGCAAGUCGAGCGCCCCGCAAGGGGAGCGGCAGACGGGUGAGUAACGCGUGGGAAUCUACCCAUCUCUACGGAGUAACGCAUGGAAACGUGUGCUAAUACCGUAUACGUCCUUCGGGAGAAAGAUUUAUCGGAGAUGGAUGAGCCCGCGUUGGAUUAGCUAGUUGGUGGGGUAAAGGCCUACCAAGGCGACGAUCCAUAGCUGGUCUGAGAGGAUGAUCAGCCACACUGGGACUGAGACACGGCCCAGACUCCUACGGGAGGCAGCAGUGGGGAAUAUUGGACAAUGGGCGCAAGCCUGAUCCAGCCAUGCCGCGUGAGUGAUGAAGGCCCUAGGGUUGUAAAGCUCUUUCACCGGUGAAGAUAAUGGCGGUAACCGGAGAAGAAGCCCCGGCUAACUUCGUGCCAGCAGCCGCAGUAACAC